AAGGUAUUGAAAUAAGAUUUUAAAUGAGUGCUAAGAGAAUGAUUAAACAAUUAAAAGCUUUCUUUAAUUGAAUAAUUGAAUUUAAUUUUUUAGUGCAAAAGCAAAAAUAAAAAUUAGGGACAAGAAGACCCUAUGAAUUUUUAUUAAAUUUUAUAAAACUUUAUAUAAAAUUUAAUUUAAUUGGGGUGAUGGAAAAAGAAUAAAUAUCUUUUUUUUWAAAAAAAAAUUGGUCCCGUUUUAACCGAUAAAAAGAAAAAAAAACCCAAGGGAAAACACCGAAAAA
rnacentral:rRNA from 1 species